CUACGGGUCGCAGCAGUGGGGAAUAUUGGACAAUGGGCGAAAGCCUGAUCCAGCAAUACCGCGUGAAUGAUGAAGGCCUUAGGGUUGUAAAGUUCUUUUAGUUGGAAAGAUAAUGACGGUACCAACAGAAAAAGCCCCGGCUAACUCCGUGCCAGCAGCCGCGGUAAGACGGAGGGGGCUAGCGUUGUUCGGAAUUACUGGGCGUAAAGGGCGCGUAGGCGGAUUAGUAAGUUGGGAGUGAAAGCCCGGGGCUUAACCUCGGAACUGCUUUCAAAACUGCUAGUCUUGAGUGAAGUAGGGGAUGAUGGAAUUCCUAGUGUAGAGGUGAAAUUCUUAGAUAUUAGGAGGAACACCGGUGGCGAAGGCGGUCAUCUGGACUUCAACUGACGCUGAGGCGCGAAAGCGUGGGGAGCAAACAGGAUUAGAUACCCGGGUAGUC
rnacentral:rRNA from 1 species